rnacentral:lncRNA from 1 species
UAAUUUUUACUUAAAUAAUUAUUGAUAAUUUAGAUAAUAAGAAAGGUGAAGACCGAUGCUCGAUUCAAACGAAUGCCAAACAGAAAGAUAUUUACCGAUUUGGCUGAAAGCUGGUGUGGUUUCUUCCAAGAGAUGCUACUAACUAAUUACAACCUCGAUGAUUCAAGUCCUGCCAUAUCUCAGACUUUGCACGGACUUUUCAAAUAAAUCUCGUAUAAGUCAAACUAGCUCUGGGUAACAUAGAAAAAACUAACAACUCUUCCAACGGAUUCCCUUAUGGACUUGAUUAUAAAGAAGAAGAAAGUUUUGUCUUUCAAAAAAGACACGAAAACAAUCUUGCAACCAACUAAAUAAAAAUAAUAAUUUAGUACUACAUACUAGUGUUGGGACUCGGUCCAAGAUCGAAUUUGGUAUUCAAUGAUUUUUCUAUAGCGAUUUAGACCGAUAUUUUGAUCCAGACCGUAGACCUAAAUUUAAUGGCUUUCAAAUCGUGGAUGAAUAUUUGGCUAUCAAUCUAUGUACUGAUUUUCUCCACCAUCUUGAUUUAUGAGUUGUACAAAUAGGAUCCACAGGGUGAAGACACAAAACUUUCCAAAGAUCCAAGAUGCAAUUCCAAAGAUCGCUUCUUGACUUGAUCAAUAGCUCAAGUAGAGGGAACAACUACACAAAAAAAAACAUAUAAUACUGCAGUAGCCCCUUUACUAGUUUGUGUAAAUUAAUUUGAUACAAGUUUUUUUGGGGUAAUACUAAAAAAAGUUACUCUACUUAUGAUCUAUAAAAUUAGUCCAGACCAAAUUUUAAAUGAGAUAAAUCCAGUCCAACUUUUAUUGUAGGACAUAACAUCUUCGGUUCACUUUAAAUCAUGAAGGUCUCAGAUGAAUCUAGGAUUUUCAAAUCGAAAGCCAACACUAAUACAUACAUAUCUAUGUCUAUAAACUGAUCCAAAUAAUAAGAACAAGAAAGAGAAAAGAAAAAGAAGAAUUUAUUAUUAUUGUCAAAUGCUUUUCCUUUGUCAAUGGAACAACCAUUUCUUAUUAGAAAAAGGAAAGAAAGAAAAAAAUGAACAGAAAAUAUAAAAUUAGCCCA